rnacentral:rRNA from 1 species
UGGGGAAUAUUGGACAAUGGGCGAAAGCCUGAUCCAGCAAUGCCGCGUGAGUGAUGAAGGCCUUAGGGUUGUAAAGCUCUUUUACCCGGGAUGAUAAUGACAGUACCGGGAGAAUAAGCUCCGGCUAACUCCGUGCCAGCAGCCGCGGUAAUACGGAGGGAGCUAGCGUUGUUCGGAAUUACUGGGCGUAAAGCGCGCGUAGGCGGCGACUCAAGUCAGAGGUGAAAGCCCGGGGCUCAACCCCGGAACUGCCUUUGAAACUAGGUUGCUAGAAUCUUGGAGAGGUCAGUGGAAUUCCGAGUGUAGAGGUGAAAUUCGUAGAUAUUCGGAAGAACACCAGUGGCGAAGGCGACUGACUGGACAAGUAUUGACGCUGAGGUGCGAAAGCGUGGGGAGCAAACA